rnacentral:rRNA from 1 species
GAUGAACGCUGGCGGCGUGCCUAAUACAUGCAAGUCGAGCGAACAGACGGGGAGCUUGCUCCUUCGACGUUAGCGGCGGACGGGUGAGUAACACGUAGGUAACCUACCUAUAAGACUGGGAUAACUUCGGGAAACCGGAGCUAAUCCCGGAUAAUAUUUCGAACCGCAUGGUUCGAUAGUGAAAGAUGGCUUUGCUAUCACUUAUAGAUGGACCUGCGCCGUAUUAGCUAGUUGGUAAGUUAACGGCUUACCAAGGCAACGAUACGUAGCCGACCUGAGAGAGUGAUCGGCCACACUGGAACUUGAACACGGUCCAGACUCCUACGGGAGGCAGCAGUAGGGAAUCUUCCGCAAUGGGCGAAAGCCUGACGGAGCAACGCCGCGUGAGUGAUGAAGGUCUUCGGAUCGUAAAACUCUGUUAUUAGGGAAGAACAAACGUGUAAGUAACUGUGCACGUCUUGACGGUACCUAAUCAGAAAGCCACGGCUAACUACGUG